CCUUCGGUUGAUCCCGCCGGAGGCCACUGCUAUUGGGGUUCGACUAAGCCAUGCGAGUCUAUGGACUUCGGGCCAUGGCGGACGGCUCAGUAACACGUGGCUAACCUACCCUCAGGUGGGGGAUAACCUUGGGAAACUGAGGAUAAUACCCCAUAGGGGAUGAGGUCUGGAAUGAUCCUUCCCUGAAAGGACAUCCGCCUGAGGAUGGGGCUGCGUCCGAUUAGGUAGUUGGCGGGGUAAUGGCCCACCAAGCCUACGAUCGGUACGGGCCUUGAGAGAGGAAGCCCGGAGAUGGGGACUGAGACACGGCCCCAGGCCCUACGGGGCGCAGCAGGCGCGAAACCUCCACAAUGCACGAAAGUGCGAUGGGGGGACCCCAAGUGCUUAUGCACAGCAUAGGCUUUUCCCAAGUGUAAAUAGCUUGGGGAAUAAGGGCUGGGCAAGUCCGGUGCCAGCAGCCGCGGUAACACCGGCGGCCCGAGUGGUGGCCACUCUUAUUGGGCCUAAAGCGUCCGUAGCCGGUCCAGUAAGUCCCUGUUUAAAUCCUACGGCUCAACCGUAGGGCUGGCAGGGAUACUGCUGGACUUGGGACCGGGAGAGGACGAGGGUACUCCA
rnacentral:rRNA from 1 species